rnacentral:piRNA from 1 species
UGUGCAUGGCGCAUACGAAGUGCCUGGUA